UACGAAGGGGGCUAGCGUUGCUCGGAAUCACUGGGCGUAAAGGGUGCGUAGGCGGGGCUUUAAGGCAGGGGGGAAAUCCUGGAGCUCAACUCCAGAACUGCCUUCGAUACUGAAGAUCUUGAGUUCGGGAGAGGUGAGUGGAACUGCGAGUGUAGAGGUGAAAUUCGUAGAUAUUCGCAAGAACACCAGUGGCGAAGGCGGCUCACUGGCCCGAUACUGACGCUGAGGCACGAAAGCGUGGGGAGCGAACAGG
rnacentral:rRNA from 1 species